UUGACCUCGAAUCAGGUAGGAAUACCCGCUGAACUUAAGCAUAUCAACG
rnacentral:rRNA from 1 species